rnacentral:lncRNA from 1 species
AUGUUGCCGUAUGCUUCCAAUCGGUUCAGAAGAAAUCCAUCUUAUAUGUGCAUACCUGUCAGAAAGCAUAAAGCACUCUGGUGAAUCACCUUGGGAGUUCAUGGUUGUGCCAAAAAUUGGUACCAGAUCACAGGUUGUUCAUCCAUGAUUUUCAAAAAGCAAGUACAAGAUCAUGGUGUUACUGAAGUGAGAAGAUAAUUGAUCUAUAACCCAGUUUUGCGUCAAGCCUGCGUCAAUGGUGUUUCCAAUGAUCAACUAUCCCCCUCUUUUGUAGUAUUGACAAAAACCGUGCCAAUGUUGCUACAGACUACAGUUUCAUCACCAAAAAAGAGAAUCCAGUUUUGUUAAAUUAAUUUGUGUAAUAAUAUGUUCAUUACUGAUCCUGAACAAGGAGUAGACAGAUUAUAGUUUCUGAAGCUUCUUUGUCGGGAUGCAUAGGCGAGAAGGACAGCUGGAGUCGCCGCCGUCGCUUAUGGAGCUCCACACCAUUGCCCAGUUGUACAAUAGUAUGUGCAAUCUUCUCCAUUCAAGACUAAGUGCAAAUGGUGAACUCUUGCCAAACAAGAAGAUAUGAGGAUCAGGCAUAUAGGCCCCCAUAAGGUAGCUAUAUAGUAAUUCAUGUGUAGUAGUGUGGAUUAUGGUCACAUUUUGUCUAGGACUGCAGAUAGCUAUGUCAAUUAAAAUGGAUAUUCUGCAUAUAUUCUGAAUUUUGAGUAAGGGCUUCAUGUAUAAGGUAUGCAGUACUUUUGACUUGGGGCACUGAUCAAUUCUUCACAUGCAGGAACAUGGAGAGAUGAAUCUGGGCGAUUGUAGCCACAAGGUGAGUGGCUUGAUCCUUAAUUAAUCCAGUUAAAUUUCAUGGUUUAUUGAUUAGUUUUUUAGCAAGCAAAUUUCUGUACAUCUGAUUGUAGGGAUACUGCUGUAGUAUUUGGGAGAAAGAGUAUGUCUGCACCUGAUCGUGAUAUGCCAAAGUUUUGUAUUUUCUAGGUAAAUUUGCUACAUGGGAAGAUUCCUCAAUGGCAACAAUACACCAUGAUAGUGAUAAUGAUAUACAUCCUAUGCUGAACAAGAGCAAGACAGAAAAGAGUAAAAGAUUCUCUCCGAAGUAAUUACGGAUCCUUCCAGUGAUUUUCAAUUCCAAGUAAUAAAGAAUAUAAGGUUACAAUUCAUCACCUAAAAAAACAGAUCUUUGUAGUCAUAGUAAUGUCUUCUCCAAUUGACCAUACCCUUAAGCAUUUGAUGAAAGUGGAUAUAUCAUCAAGAGCCUUGCAAGCAAAUUUAUCUACAAUAGGAAACACACGAUGAUGACAUAUCAGUUAUUCCAAAUCACCAUAUGAAAUGUUUAAUGUUUACUUCCCCUUGUAACGUUAGCUUAUCUAGCAAAUAUCUGUUAUUCUAUACAUCUGAUUGAUAAGUUUCAAAUAGUACAGGAACCAGAUAUCCAGAUAUAAUUAGAGUAGGGACCGACAUUAAUUAAACCUCUUGACAUGCUCAUUUGAAAGUCAAGUAUAUUUAUGCAGCAAUGCCUUAUUAGUCCUACAGAAGAUACCAUUACUGCUGCUCAUAGGAAGAGAUAUUACACCAUCAGUUGAGUUUAGCUAAAUCUGCAGUUUUCGUUACAAUGCAUGAAUCUUAUUUAUCUUGCUUCAAAUGAACAAACAAGAGAGGAUGAAGUACCCAUCUUCCAGUCAUCUGGCAAGCAACAGUCCAGUGCAUAUUGCAGACCUUCUUAGCAAGCAUCAUCGAGUGCCAUUGUAUCUUGAAUAACACAAUUGUACAGGGAUCUUGAAUAGCACAUCAAACAGAGGCACGCCUAAUUGAAAUUACAUUGGUACAUUAGUACACGGUAAACUGCACAAUACGAAUUAAAAUUUAAGUGCAAAGAUAGGAUAAUCCAGAGUUGACACGAAGUAAUGUCGAAGGACUAAGAUCAAAUCAGAAUUAAUCCUGACAGUCAAUACAGCAAUGAGAAUUCAUUUCACAAUAACAUAGCUCAUACCAGUGGAGGCAUCGAACUGUGCCCAUAUAUUUUUGCGCACCCACGCCCGCUCCUUGUUGUCUUGUUGCGGGCAUCCGCGCUGGGUCGCCCGUGAGCAUGCUGAGCUCGAGCGCAUCCUUCGGCACUUCGGCGAGCGGAUUCGAAGAGGGACGGGGAAGAGCAGGGGCGUGGAAGUCUCGCACCUCCGACGGAGCCUAGCGCUGGGAUGCUCCCGUGCAUGCCGAGCUCGGGGACCUCCUCGGCCACUU